rnacentral:rRNA from 1 species
AUAUCAAUAAGCGGAGGAAAAGAAACCAACAGGGAUUGCCUCAGUAACGGCGAGUGAAGCGGCAACAGCUCAAAUUUGAAAUCUGGCCCCCCGGGCCCGAGUUGUAAUUUGCAGAGGAUGCUUUUGGCGCGGUCCCCUCCGAGUCCCCUGGAAUGGGGCGCCACAGAGGGUGAGAGCCCCGUAUGGUCGGAGACCAAGCCUUUGUAAAGCUCCCUCGACGAGUCGAGUAGUUUGGGAAUGCUGCUCAAAAUGGGAGGUAAAUUUCUUCUAAAGCUAAAUACUGGCCAGAGACCGAUAGCGCACAAGUAGAGUGAUCGAAAGAUGAAAAGCACUUUGAAAAGAGGGUUAAACAGCACGUGAAAUUGUUGAAAGGGAAGCGCUUGUGACCAGACUUGCGCCGGGCGGAUCAUCCAGCGUUCUCCGCUGGUGCACUCCGUCCGGCUCAGGCCAGCAUCGGUCUCCGGCGGGGGACAAAAGCUCCGGGAACGUGGCCUCUUCUUAAGAGGUGUUAUAGCCCGGCUGCAGAAUACCCCGCCUCGGGGACCGAGGACCGCGCCCUCCGGGGCAAGGAUGCUGGCGUAAUGGUCAUCAGCGACCCGUCUUGAAACACGGACCAAGGAGUCGAGCAUUAGGGCGAGUGUAUGGGUGUAAAACCCGCACGCGUAAUGAAAGUGAACGUGGGUGAGAAGCUUUUCUUUCACGAGAAGCCGCAUCAUCGACCGAUCCUGAAGUCUUCGGAUGGAUUUGAGUAGGAGCCUUAACGCUCGGACCCGAAAGAUGGUGAACUAUGCCUGGAUAGGGUGAAGCCAGAGGAAACUCUGGUGGAGGCUCGCAGCGGUUCUGACGUGCAAAUCGAUCGUCAAAUUUGGGCAUAGGGGCGAAAGACUAAUCGAACCAUCUAGUAGCUGGUUACCGCCGAAGUUUCCCUCAGGAUAGCAGUGUUGAUCUUCAGUUUUAUGAGGUAAAGCGAAUGAUUAGGGACUCGGGGGCGCUCUUUAGCCUUCAUCCAUUCUCAAACUUUAAAUAUGUAAGAAGCCCUUGUUGCUUAGUUGAACGUGGGCAUUCGAAUGCAACAACACUAGUGG